GUUUGAUCAUGGCUCAGGACGAACGCUGGCGGCGCGCCUCAUACAUGCAAGUCGAGCGAGAACCAGGGCUUGCCCUGGGGACAGCGGCGAACGGGUGCGUAACACGUGAGCAACCUGCCCCGAAGACCGGGACAAGCCGGGGAAACCUGGUCUAAUACCGGAUGUCCUCGGCGGACCGCAUGGUCCGGCGAGGAAAUGGAUUCCGCUUCGGGAUGGGCUCGCGGUCUAUCAGCUUGUUGGUGGGGUAACGGCUCACCAAGGCGACGACGGAUAGCUGGUCUGAGAGGACGAUCAGCCACACUGGGACUGAGACACGGCCCAGACUCCUACGGGAGGCAGCAGUAGGGAAUCUUGCGCAAUGGGCGAAAGCCUGACGCAGCGACGCCGCGUGCGGGAUGAAGGCCUUCGGGUCGUAAACCGCUUUCAGCAGGGACGAAAUUGACGGUACCUGCAGAAGAAGGCCCGGCCAACUACGUGCCAGCAGCCGCGGUAA
rnacentral:rRNA from 1 species